UCCCCACCCCACCCCACCCCACCCCCACCCGCCAAGCCCAAGUGUGUGCUCCUUGCCCACCCUCGGUUUCUGGUGUCUGCGGGUGGGUGUUUAGAUAGCGCCAUCCGUUGCGUCGUUUAGAGUCCACCAACAGGUGAUGUCCUAGGGCACUUGUCUUUUUCCUUUCUGGCUUCCUUCGCUUAGCCUGAGGGUCUCUCGUUCCAGCCCCGCGGCGGCAGAUGGCACUCGUUCUGCCGCUUUUUCCUGGCUGUGUGCGAUGCCAUCGCAUAGAUGUCCCCGGGUCUGCGAAGUGCACUCACCUGUCAGUGGACCUUUAGGUGGCUUCCAGAUCUUGGCUCUGCCCCGCGGCGGCAGAUGGCACUCGUUCUGCCG
rnacentral:lncRNA from 1 species